rnacentral:rRNA from 1 species
UACGGAGGGUGCAAACGUUGCUCGGAAUCAUUGGGCGUAAAGCGCACGUAGGCGGCGCGUUAAGUCGGGUGUGAAAGCCCUGGGCUCAACCCAGGAAGUGCAUUCGAAACUGGCGCGCUUGAAUAUGGAAGAGGGUCGCGGAAUUCCCGGUGUAGAGGUGAAAUUCGUAGAUAUCGGGAGGAACACCAGUGGCGAAGGCGGCGACCUGGGCCAAUAUUGACGC